rnacentral:tRNA from 1 species
CAGGGUGUAGCUCAGUGGUGGAGCCCUUGUCUAGCAUGCAGGAAGUCCUGGGUUCAAGCCCCAGCACUAGGA